rnacentral:rRNA from 1 species
AAAAAGUUAUCUCUAAUUCAUGGUCCCGCGUUGGGUCAGAUAGGUGGCGAGGUAAAUGCAUACCUAGGAGCCGAUCUAUAGCUGGUCUGAGAGGUAGAUCAUCCGCGAUAGGACUGAGUCACGGCCCUGAUUCCUACCGGGACGCACCAGUGUUUAAUUUUUGACAAUGGGCGCAAGCCUGUUCCAGGCAGGCCGCGUGAGUGAGGAAGACCCUAGGGUAAUAGGGCUCCUUCACCGGGGAAGACAAUGAAAUAACCGGAGAAGAAGCCCCGGCUAACUUCGUGCCGGCAGCCGCGGUUAUACGAAGGGGGAUAGCGUUGUUGGGCUUUGCUGGGGGUAAAGCGCAUAGUAGGGGGGCUCAUAAGUCAGGGGUGAAAUCCCGGGGUUCAACCCCGGAACUGCCUUUUAUACUGUUAUUCUUGAGUAUGGUGGAGGUGAGUGGAAUUCUGAGUGUAGAGGUGAAAUUUUUUGAUAUUCGGAGGAACACCAGUGGUGAAGGCGGCUCACUGGGCCAUUUCUGACGCUGAGGUGCGAAAGCGUGGGGAGCAAACAGGAUUAGAUAGCCUGGAGUGCACGCCAUAAACGAAGAAGGUUAGCCGUUGGGGAGUUUACUAUUCGGUGGUGCCGCUAGGGCGAUGCAACAGCCCGCACAGGCCCUGA